rnacentral:misc_RNA from 1 species
AAAAUAAACUGAAUCUCUGGGUUAUAUUGAAAUUAUCAAAAAAAGGAAAAUCUCCAUUAAAUAUGAAAACUACAAAGUUGGUUUAUCGAAAAAGGUUGCCAAUCCCACCCUAAUAAUGAAGAGACAAAUCUGUGGUCCGUGAUACGUGUUGUAAGUUAACAAGCUAGCCCUACAAAACUUAUCCCACUUGCUCACUUUCCAUUUGAUUCCAAUUUUAUCUUCUUUUUCUUUUGUAAAAGGUUUGUCGAGUCGUUUAAUCUUUGGCCUUUGCCAUAUCGAUAGGACCCUGUCCUUUUCUCCAUUUAGAUUCUGCUUCCACUUCUUCGCCCACGGCUUUCCCUCAUUCAGUUUUAAUCAUUUGCUGCUGCUGCCGCCGCACACUUGCAACUUGAUUCAUCGUGAAUUUAAGGUAUGUAAAUAAAUUUUUUUAUCACAAUUAAUUUGCAGACCAGUCUUCUUCUAACCAAUCAAAAUUUGACACACGACCAACGCUCUACUUCUGUUCCACUUCUUAUCUGCUCGCCACGUGGGAAAUUUUUUUCCGCUCGUUUUAUGACGUCAGCACUCACGAUUCCACUUUUCUUCCCGCCCACGGCAACGCCUCUUUCGCUUCUCAUUCAAUUCCUUCCCUUUUAUAUCCUGUGCUGCUUCACUCUUUUUCUUGCUACAAAAGAUCAGAUCCCACCCCUGGACUCUUCGGUAGCGUUGAAAAAAUGAGAGUGAACAGGCUUAAUCUCAGCCGCCUGAUCAUCAUGUGGUUCUAUGUUGUUCUUCUUUCGCUUGUGUUCUCCGCGAGAGCACAGCCCACCACUGGAAAACAGGAGAACCAGUAUAAAUUGUACUCAAAUUUCGAUCCAACGAUGGCCACAGUGAUCGUCGUGCUCAUUUGUGCUUUCUUCUUCAUUGGAAUUUUCUCCGUCUUCAUCCGUCAGUGUUCUGAGAACGCAAUUGUUGGUAACCUCCCCAACACUAUUGCCUCUGGGAAUAGAUCGCGGGGGGUUGGCCUCGAUCCUGCCGUGAUCGAGAAGUUCCCGGUCUUCGUCUACUCUGAGGUGAAAGAUAUUAAAAUUGGCAGAGAAACGCUAGAAUGCGUAGUUUGCUUGAGUGAAUUUGAAGAUGAUGAAACGCUGCGUUUGUUACCCAAAUGUAAUCACGUUUUCCAUCCUGAAUGCAUUGAUGAGUGGUUGGCUUCUCAUGUCACUUGCCCGGUUUGCCGAGCCAAGCUCACACCGGAAUCUGUCGAAAUUCCGAAGAGCACACCACAACAAACAACAACAACAGACUCGAAUCAACACAACUCUGUACCUUCUGUCGCUGAAGAAGUCGCAAUUACCGUGAAUGAAGAGCAAAACAGUGACUCACAGCCACAGGCUACUAAUAUCGCGAACACGAUUCAGGCGAAGAAUCGGCCACCGAGAUUGGGUAUUUCCGAAAAGUUUCCAAGAUCGCAUUCGACGGGGCAUUCACUAGUUCAAGCAGGAGAUAAUAUUGAAAGGUAUACACUGAGAUUUCCGGAGGAGGUGAGGAAGCAGAUGAUGGCGAGCGCGAAACUGAAACGUGCAGUGAGUUUCAAUGUGAUUUUGGCAACGGAAGGGAGCUCGAGGAAAGGGUAUAGAAGCAGCGGAGAAGGUAGUAGUAGAGGAAAGCAAAUUGGCCGGUGGGCAUUCUUGAUUGCGGGAGGCAAUUCCUUAAAAUCGAGUAAGAUUGAAAACGACGGAGAUUCGGUUAACGGUAGGAACAUCUUGGCAUCCGUUAAGAAUCCGUUAAAUUGCCUAAACAUGAAGGUUGAGGGAGUCGAAGAAACGUCCACUCCGACCCGGCCUCUCGUUUGAUUUGUGCAAUAAUAAGCUUAAGGGCCAUUUUUGUGCAUAGUCAAGCUGGUGCGGCACUUGCUGCAAAGAGAAUUUGUGGCCUUGCAACUUCGAAUCAAUUCAAAGUUGGCCAUUAGCUCCAGAUUCAUGUGAAAAGUGAGAACAUGGGAAUUCAUUUAAAGCAGUCAAAAGAAGAAAUCGAAUUUUGGGCAAUAUGAGUUGGCUCUUGUAUUGCCUGGAUAAAAAAUACAUGGAGGAAAGCGAGUCAGAAUAUGGGGAGUUCUCAGAAUGAAUUCCAGGUAUCCAACAAAGAAAAAAAGUUGUCUUAUUGUGUAUUGUUCUUUAUUUAUACUAGUUAAUAUGUGUGGGAUUUGCGAGAGAAGUACACAAUUUUUUAAUAUAUUGAAUUUAUAAUUUGCCCAAAUUAGAUUUAGCUGUUCUAAGGAAGAUUGCUCAAAUAGGAUUUUGCUUUCAUAAUAAGCGAUGGUGUGGGGACGGUGGAUGGAAAAAAUAGAAAGGCGCAGGUUGAGUAUUCAAAGGCUGCUACUCAUAGAAUGGAGUGGAGCCCAUUAUCAUCACCCUCAGGUCCCAAGCUUCUUGAUCCACAACCUAAGACCAAUUGUCCGAUUCAUAUAGAAAUAGACGUCAUUCUUAUCUUCUACAUAAAGCAAAAUUAUCGCAGCUGCCCAAUCGCUUUCAUCAUCAUCACGAGUUCCCCCAUGCUGAGAGUCCGGCAAUUCUUAUUAUUCCAGUACUAAUUAGUUGUUUUAAUACCCGUUGCCAAACAAGCCUUGCCCCAAAACUUUUUUUUUUAUUCCAUUACGUUGUGUUUUUAAAUUUUCAUUUAUUUUAAUUGAAUGCUUGAAUUUUUAUUA